rnacentral:rRNA from 1 species
AUUGAACGCUGGCGGCAGGCCUAACACAUGCAAGUCGAGCGAGCGGCGGACGGGUGAGUAAUGUAUGGGGACUGCCCGCUAGAGGGGGAUAACUACUGGCAACGGUGGCUAAUCCCGCAUACUAUCGGAUAACCCAUAUGGGAGUAGCUAGUAGGUGGGGUAAAGGCUCACCUAGGCGACGAUCUCUAGCUGGUCUGAGAGGAUGAUCAGCCACACUGGGACGGAGACACGGCCCAGACUCCUACGGAGGCAGCAGGGGGGAAUAUUGCACAAUGGGCGCAAGCCGGAUGCAGCCAUGCCGCGUGUAUGAAGAAGGCCCUAGGGUUGUAAAGUACUUUCAGUCGGGAGGCGUUAGGGAAAGAAGAAGCACAGGCUAACUCCGUGCCAGCAGCCGCGGUAAUAG